rnacentral:rRNA from 1 species
CCUACGGGUGGCAGCAGUGGGGAAUAUUGGUCAAUGGGCGCAAGCCUGACCCAGCAACGCCGCGUGAAGGAAGACGGCUCUCGGGUUGUAAACUUCUUUUCUCACGGACGAAACACGUGACGGUACCUGCGGAAUAAGCCACGGCUAACUACGUGCCAGCAGCCGCGGUAAUACGGAGGUGGCAAGCGUUAUCCGGAUUUACUGGGUGUAAAGGGUGUGUAGGCGGGAAAGCAAGUCAGAUGUGAAAAGCAUGGGCUCAACCCGUGGCCUGCAUUUAAAACUGUUUUUCUUGAGUAUUGGAGAGGUAGACGGAAUGUCUGGUGUAGCGGUGAAAUGCUUAGAUAUUAGGAGGAACACCAGUGGCGAAGGCGGUCUGCUGGACUGCAACUGACGUUGAGGCGCGAAAGCGUGGGGAGCAAACAGGAUUAGAUACCCGGGUAGUC